UUUUCUUCUUCAUAUCCCUAGCUCCUUCUCACUCUAAUCUCUCUAUCUCUCAAUUGAAAUCAAACCCCAGACCCCAUUAUUCUUCCCCUCUCUCUCUCGUAUUCCUGUCUCCCUCUCACUCUAGCUCUCUUUGUCUCUAAUUCUAAGUUUCUUUCUUCUCCGUAAUCCCUCUCUCUCUCACCCUUUCGCACAGCUUCCAUACCAAAUUUCAUUUUCUUCUUCAUAUUCCCCUACACAGUCUCAAAUCCCUAGCUCUCUCUCACUCUAAUCUCUCUAUCUCUCAGUUGAAAUCAAACCCCAGACCCCAUUAUUCUUCCCCUCUCUCUCGUAUUCCUGUCUCCCUCUCACUCUAGCUCUCUCUGUCUCUCUCAUUCAAAGUUCACAUACCAACUUCUAACUGAAGGAACUCGGAAUCAUCUAACCGAAAGGUAGUGAUUCCAAGAAAGGUGGUGGUGGAGGUUCGCAAGAUGGGAAGAUUGGGUCCAGCAAUGUCCUCACGAACCAGUACACAGGGUCACACGUUGCGACUUCUGUCCUUGCCAGAUUUCUUAGAUCGAUCAAUAAGCAAGCUAUUGAGCUUAAACAAAAGAUUGCUUUAGCCACCUCAGCCAUCAAAUCUGUUUUAGGCCAAGAACAGCCCAAGCAGGAUGCAGUAAGCCGGUUGUCAUUCUAGCUGCCGUUAUGUUUUCUUUUACACGAGUUUAUAGACUAUCUGAGGUUAUCUAUGAUGCAGACUGAAAAACUGGAGCGACUAAGGGAGAGGAUGAUCAAAGUGCGGGAGAUUUUUCGAGACACUGAUUCAACAUAAUUUGUUAUUGUAACAAUUCCCACGGUUAAGAAGCAUAUCAAGCAAGGCCAAGGUCAUGAAGGUGGGAUCUUUACAGUUGAAGCCCCUCUUCAUGUUUCAAAUGUUCAAGUUAUUGAUCCAGUCACAGGGAAGCCUUGUAAAGUUGGGAUUAAGUAUCUUGAAGAUGGAACCAAAGUAAGAGUAUCCAGAGGUCAUGCAUCAGGAUCCAUUAUUCCUUGUCCUGAGAUAUUGAAGAUAAGGACUAGGCCAAGGCCUACAGUUGGCAUUUGAGCAUGGAUUCACUGCCUCAAUUUUGCAUGGAGGGCUUUCUCCUGAUUUGAACAACGUGAACCAGAUAAGAAUGAUACAAAGGCCUACUGAUGUACCAGAACAUGGCUUGUUGUGUGGUCUUCUAUGGUCUAAUCCUAUUAAAGACAUUCAAGGUCUGAUCUGUAGAGCUCAUCAGGUUGUGGAAGAUGGAUAUGAGUUCUUUGCUAACCGAAAACUUAUGACGCUAUUCUCAGCGCCUAACUACUGUGGCGAGUUUGACAACAACUUAUGGAACAUGAUUAAAGUCCAUUAUAUGUUUUGUAUAUCAUACAAUGUUUGGAGCAUAUAUGUUUUUUGGUAUAUCUUUUGCUGAAGCGGAAAUGACACUGUACAUAUGAACUUAAUACUAGUCCCAUGAUGAGUGUUGAUGAGAGCUUAAUGUGUUCUUUCCAGAUUUUAAAACCAGCUGAUAAGAAGCCAAAGUUUGGAUUUGGAAGUGCUGCAGCUACUACUAGGCCAGGUCCUCCUAGUAAAGUGAAGGAACUAACAAUUGUCUUUUUGUCUAAUGAUGAUAUUAAAUGUACUUUGUUACAUUGUAUGUCACUCUGAUAGAAAUUGAUCAUUUACAGAGAGCUUUUUGUCUAAUGAUGAUAUUAAAUGUACUUUGUUACAUUGUAUGUCACUCUGAUAGAAAUUGAUCAUUUACAGAGAGCUUUUUGUCUAAUGAUGAUAUUAAAUGUACUUUGUUACAUUGUAUGUCACUCUGAUAGAAAUUGAUCAUAAU